CUGCAGUGAUGUAAGAAUUUCUUCACCUGAAAGAACCGUGUCGAUCGAACGUACGAGCUUUUUAACCCUGAGCCGU
rnacentral:snoRNA from 1 species